rnacentral:rRNA from 1 species
GACGAACGCUGGCGGCGUGCCUAAUACAUGCAAGUCGAACGAACCGCGACUGAGUGCUUGCACUAAGUCAAGGUGAGUGGCGAACGGGUGAGUAACACGUGGGUAACCUACCUCAUAGUGGGGGAUAACAGUCGGAAACGACCGCUAAUACCGCAUAGGACAUGGGAUCACAUGAUUCUGUGAGGAAAGGUGGCGCAAGCUAUCGCUAAGAGAUGGACCCGCGGUGCAUUAGCUAGUUGGUAGGGUAACGGCCUACCAAGGCGAUGAUGCAUAGCCGACCUGAGAGGGUGAUCGGCCACAUUGGGACUGAGACACGGCCCAAACUCCUACGGGAGGCAGCAGUAGGGAAUCUUCCGCAAUGGACGCAAGUCUGACGGAGCAACGCCGCGUGAGUGAAGAAGGUCUUCGGAUCGUAAAGCUCUGUUGUUAGAGAAGAACAGCGCAUAGAGUAACUGUUAUGCGUGUGACG